rnacentral:lncRNA from 1 species
GAUGACAUGCCUUCAAAACUUCCAUUACAUAUAACAAGUCUUGUUAUGACCGGAAAUGAUAAACGUCAUUAAUGUACAUAAAUCCAUUUUAUUCAAUAUUUUUAAUGCUAAUUCAUUAUGAUAUAACAAUUUUAAAAAUGAUUACAUAUUUACAUGUAUUAUUUUACAACCAAUAGUUCUAUCUACUUUAAAAGGGUUUAUAUUUAAGUACACCAACUCGAUCCACCUUAUGAAAAU